CUCGCCUGCAUGAAGUCGGAAUUGCUAGUAAUCGUAGGUCAGCAUACUACGGUGAAUACGUUCCCGGGCCUUGUACACACCGCCCGUCAAACCAUGAGAGUUGGCAACACCCGAAGUCGGUAGUCUAACCGCAAGGAGGACGCCGCCGAAGGUGGGGUUGAUGAUUAGGGUUAAGUCGUAACAAGGUAUC
rnacentral:rRNA from 1 species